rnacentral:rRNA from 1 species
UCUGGUUGAUCCUGCCAGUAGUCAUAUGCUUGUCUUAAAGAUUAAGCCAUGCAUGUCUAAGUAUAAACACUUUGUACUUGUGAAACUGCGAAUGGCUCAUUAAAUCAGUUAUAAUUUAUUUGAUGGUCCUUUACUACUUGGAUAACCGUGGUAAAUCUAGAGCUAAUACAUGCACAAAAUCCUGACUGCUCUCGGGUAGGAGGGAUGUAUUUAUUAGAUUCAAAAGCCAAUGCCAUCUUUCGGGGUGGAAAUUUUUUAUAUGGUGAAUCAUGAUAACUUUACGAAUCGCAUGGUCUUGUACCGGCGAUAGUUCAUUCAAAUAUCUGCCCUAUCAACUUUCGAUGGUAGUAUAGAGGACUACCAUGGUGGUAACGGGUAACGGAGAAUCAGGGUUUGAUUCCGGAGAAGGAGCCUGAGAAACGGCUACUACUUCCAAGGAAGGCAGCAGGCGCGCAAAUUACCCAAUCCCGACACGGGGAGGUAGUGACAAAAAAUAACAAUACCGGUCUUAUUUAAGUCUGGUAAUUGGAAUGAGUACAAUCUAAAACCUUUAACGAGUAUCAAUUGGAGGGCAAGUCUGGUGCCAGCAGCCGCGGUAAUUCCAGCUCCAAUAGCAUAUAUUAAAGUUGUUGCAGUUAAAAAGCUCGUAGUUGGAUUUUGAUGUUACUUAUUAUGACCCGCCUUGUAUAAGGUGUGUUUGUUGUGAUAAGUACAUCUCCUUACUAGACUUUCAUGGUUGCACUUAAUUGAGUGAUCAUUUCAUUCUGAUUCGUUGGGGUGAGUGAUGGGUAGACCUACUGGAUUUGAGAUGUGGAUGAACUUCUUCGGAGGUUGGUUCUGCUUAGGUUCAGUAACUAUUCAUUAGAAAUCUAGUUCAUUUACUUUGAGUAAAUUAGAGUGUUCAAGGCAAGCAAAUUUGUUUCUGCAAUGAAUACUAUUAGCAUGGCAUAAUGGAACAGGACACGUAUUCUAGUUUUCCGUUGGUUUCUAGAAUUUUUAGUCUCUCCUCGGAGGGGCGAAGUGUAAUAAUUAAAAGGGACAGUUGGGGGCAUUCGUAUUUCAUUGUCAGAGGUGAAAUUCUUGGAUUUAUGAAAGACGAACUUCUGCGAAAGCAUUUGUCAAAGAUGUUUUCAUUAAUCAAGAACGAAAGUUAGGGGAUCGAAGACGAUCAGAUACCGUCGUAGUCUUAACCAUAAACUAUGCCGACCAGGGAUUGGAAGAUGUAUUAUCCUAUGUUUAACCGUAGGAAAACUCCUUCAGCACCUUACGAGAAAUCAUAAGUCUUUGGGUUCUGGGGGGAGUAUGGUCGCAAGGCUGAAACUUAAAGGAAUUGACGGAAGGGCACCACCAGGAGUGGAGCCUGCGGCUUAAUUUGACCCAACACGGGAAAACUCACCAGGUCCAGACACAGUUAGGAUUGACAGAUUGAGAGCUCUUUCUUGAUUCUGUGGGUGGUGGUGCAUGGCCGUUCUUAGUUGGUGGAGUGAUCUGUCUGGUUAAUUCCGAUAACGAACGAGACCUCAGCCUGCUAA